GUGGGUGUAGCUCAGCCGGUAGAGCACCUGGUUGUGGUCCAGGAUGUCGCGGGUUCAAGUCCCGUCACUCACCCCA
rnacentral:tRNA from 1 species